AAUGAACGCUGGCGGCAGGCUUAACACAUGCAAGUCGAGCGAGCGGCGGACGGGUGAGUAAUGUCUGGGAAACUGCCUGAUGGAGGGGGAUAACUACUGGAAACGGUAGCUAAUACCGCAUACCAUCAGAUGUGCCCAGAUUGGAUUAGCUAGUAGGUGGGGUAAGGGCUCACCUCGGCGACGAUCCCUAGCUGGUCUGAGAGGGUGACCAGCCACACUGGAACUUAGACACGGUCCAGACGCCUACGUGAGGCAGCAGUGGGGAAUAUUGCACAAUGGGCGCAAGCCUGAUGCAGCCAUGCCGCGUGAGUGAAGAAGGCCUUCGGGUUGUAAAGCACUUUCAGCGAGGAAGCGUUACUCGCAGAAGAAGCACCGGCUAACUCCGUGCCAGCCGCCGCGGUAAUUC
rnacentral:rRNA from 1 species